rnacentral:rRNA from 1 species
GAUGAACGCUGGCGGCGUGCUUAACACAUGCAAGUCGAACGAAGCAUUUGCGACAGAUUUUUUCGGAAUGAAGUUGCUUAUGACUGAGUGGCGGACGGGUGAGUAACGCGUGGGUAACCUGCCUUGUACUGGGGGAUAGCAGCUGGAAACGGCUGGUAAUACCGCAUAAGCGCACAAUGUUGCAUGACAUGGUGUGAAAAACUCCGGUGGUAUAAGAUGGACCCGCGUCUGAUUAGCUAGUUGGUGAGAUAACAGCCCACCAAGGCGACGAUCAGUAGCCGACCUGAGAGGUUGACCGGCCACAUUGGGACUGAGACACGGCCCAGACUCCUACGGGAGGCAGCAGUGGGGAAUAUUGCACAAUGGAGGAAACUCUGAUGCAGCGACGCCGCGUGAGUGAAGAAGUAAUUCGUUAUGUAAAGCUCCAUCAGCAGGGAAGAUAGUGACGGUACCUGACUAAGAAGCUCCGGCUAAAUACGUG